UCUGAUAUGGUGUAGUGGCUAACGUUAUCACCUCCAGUGUACCUACAUAUUGCUAAUUGUACAAUAUGAGUAUUGCCGAUAGCCCCGGGUUCGAUUCCCCGUAUCGGAA